CGAACGGGUGAGUAAUGCGUGACCAACCUGCCCCAUGCUCCAGAAUAGCUCUUGGAAACGGGUGGUAAUGCUGGAUGCUCCAACUUGACGCAUGUCUUGUUGGGAAAGUGUUUAGUGGCAUGGGAUGGGGUCGCGUCCUAUCAGCUUGUAGGCGGGGUAAUGGCCCACCUAGGCUUCGACGGGUAGCCGGCCUGAGAGGGCGGACGGCCACAUUGGGACUGAGAUACGGCCCAGACUCCUACGGGAGGCAGCAGGA
rnacentral:rRNA from 1 species